rnacentral:rRNA from 2 species
CCUACGGGAGGCAGCAGUGGGGAAUUUUGGACAAUGGGCGCAAGCCUGAUCCAGCAAUGCCGCGUGCAGGAAGAAGGCCUUCGGGUUGUAAACUGCUUUUGUACGGAACGAAACGGUCUGGGUUAAUACCUCGGGCUAAUGACGGUACCGUAAGAAUAAGCACCGGCUAACUACGUGCCAGCAGCCGCGGUAAU